AUUGAACGCUGGCGGAAUGCUUUACACAUGCAAGUCGAACGGCAGCACGGACUUCGGUCUGGUGGCGAGUGGCGAACGGGUGAGUAAUGUAUCGGAACGUGCCCAGUCGUGGGGGAUAACGUAGUGAAAAUUACGCUAAUACCGCAUACGAUCUAUGGAUGAAAGCGGGGGAUCGCAAGACCUAGCGCGCUUGGAGCGGCCGAUACCAGAUUAGGUAGUUGGUGGGGUAAAGGCCCACCAAGCCAACGAUCUGUAGCUGGUCUGAGAGGACGACCAGCCACACCGGAACUGAGACACGGUCCAGACUCCUACGGGAGGCAGCAGUGGGGAAUUUUGGACAAUGGGCGAAAGCCUGAUCCAGCCAUUCCGCGUGCAGGAUGAAGGCCCUCGGGUUGUAAACUGCUUUUGUACAGAACGAAAAGGUUUCUACUAAUACUAGGAGCUCAUGACGGUACUGUAAGAAUAAGCACCGGCUAACUACGUGCCAGCAGCCGCCGCAG
rnacentral:rRNA from 1 species